UUUUCUCUUAUAUUUUGGUUGAAAGCUUAAAAAUGAAAGCUCCUAUGUCAGAUGGUAUGAAGAGAUCCAACAAAUGCAUGCCGUUUUAUCUUUCACAACAAAAACAUUACAGGUUAGCGUAUAAAAACAUUACAGGUAAGAAGAGUCCCCAAGAAGUGUAUGGAUGUAUGUUAUCUCAAUGCAUCAAAAUCAACCAUCCCAUCUUUCACAGCAAAAAAACAUUACAACUUUAUUCAGCAGCUCGAAUUGAAAUAACUUUGUAGCACUUUUUUUAAGGUGUGAUGCCACUUUUAACCUUCUGCAUAAUUCGCAUGGAGACAGCAAAAACAUGCAUUGGUACAACUUUAAUCGAAGCAUCAGAAUUUGGCCAUCUGACAGAUGCUUUCUUUGUUGGCUUUCUUAAUAAACUUGUUGCCAAAUUCAGCAUCUCAAUGCUACGUUAAUGUGUUCAUAUUAGCUUUUUAACAUAUCUUGAAAUGGAACUUUGGUGAGAAAAGUAAAUGCAUGUUUGGAUAUUCAUAUGCUACACAUUUUAAUUUGAUAAAAUAAAUUA